UUUCAAAGCGUUCUCAAAGAUAGGACCUUUUAAUGGAUGCAGCGACUAUGUUAUGUUGUUUUCCCUUUGGUAGAACCGGAAGAAUCUGGCGUGGAAAGGAAUUCUUUCAACACAGUGAUUCCGGAAGUGCAUUACAAAUUGAAAUAUUCUGCAGCAUGCAUCAUGAUAUGAAUGUGCACUCAAGGUUUCGUGCGCCGUGCGCCGGGAGAUCGUGCCUAUAUGUAUUCUGAGUUUGCUGGCAGGCGGCGGAAUGUGAACUAGCGUGCCGGACGAUGGCAGAUUAUAUUAAUUAUCUAGCGUGAAGCAUUCGGUCGUGGCUAUGCAAAUCGGGUGCAUGGCUAGCUUUGUCCAAGAGAAUCCACCAGGGAAGCCAGCUCUAGCAUGAAUCUAUUUUUGCUCGAUCAGGCAGAUCGAACUACUAUAUAGCUUUGAGGUGCCCUCACCAUGCAUUUUCCUUUGAGUGGCGUUAUGUUGGGGAGAGGUCGCCGGUGAGCUGGGACGAGCUCGGAUCGGCUAGCUGUCCAACAAAAAUAUGGUUCAAGUGUGAUGAAAUUAAGCGCACGCAUUUACAAUUGCAUGAGUUUGCCACCUCGAGCGUUAGUCGUGUCAUUGAUCCAAGGCUAAUGGGCUUAUCGACACAGCCGUUGAGUCCCUGUGUUUCAUGUUAACAUGUAGACGAACUUUUGUGUGUUUUUUUGUGCAGACGCACGUUUUCUCGACUCAAAUGUAGCUAUAUAAGUUUGACAAUAUAGUUAUAAAAAAAUACUGUGAAAACUAUAGCAAUUUGAAAA